rnacentral:rRNA from 1 species
AUUGAACGCUGGCGGCAUGCCUUACACAUGCAAGUCGAGCGGCAGCGCGGGGGCAACCCUGGCGGCGAGCGGCGGACGGGUGAGUAAUACAUCGGAACGUGUCCUUUCGUGGGGGAUAACCAGUCGAAAGACUGGCUAAUACCGCAUGAGAUCUCACGAUGAAAGCGGGGGACCACAAGGCCUCGCGCGAUUGGAGCGGCCGAUGUCGGAUUAGCUAGUUGGCGGGGUAAAAGCCCACCAAGGCGACGAUCCGUAGCUGGUUUGAGAGAACGACCGGCCACACUGGGACUGAGCAACGGCCCAGACUCCUACGGGAGGCAGCAGUGGGGAAUUUUGGACAAUGGGCGCAAGCCUGAUCCAGCCAUGCCGCGUGUGUGAAGAAGGCCUUCGGGUUGUAAAGCACUUUCGGCCGGAACGAAAUCGCGCGGAUUAAUAACCCGCGUGGAUGACGGUACCGGAAGAAGAAGCACCGGCUAACUACGUGCCAGCAGCCGCAGUAA